rnacentral:rRNA from 1 species
UACAGAGGGGGCAAGCGUUAUUCGGAAUUAUUGGGCGUAAAGAGUUCGUAGGCGGCUUAGUAAGUCGGGUGUGAAACCUCCAGGCUCAACCUGGAGACGCCACCCGAUACUGCUGUGGCUAGAGUCCGGUAGGGGAGCGUGGAAUUCCUGGUGUAGCGGUGAAAUGCGCAGAUAUCAGGAGGAACACCAGCGGCGAAGGCGGCGCUCUGGGCCGGUACUGACGCUGAGGAGCGAAAGCGUGGGGAGCAAACAGG